CCCUUAGAUGUUCUGGGCCGCACGCGUGCUACACUGAUGCAUUCAACGAGUCUAAAACCUGGUCUGAUAGGGCUGGGUAAUCUUUUGAAAGUGCAUCGUGAUUGGGAUAGAUGAUUGCAAUUCUUCAUCUUCAACGAGGAAUGCCUAGUAAACGCAAGUCAUCAACUUGCGUUGAUUACGUCCCUGCCCUUUGUACACACCGCCCGUCGCUACUACCGAUUGAAUGGUUUAGUGAGGCCUUCGGAUCCGCGACUCGUUUGUGGAGAAGUUGGACAAACUCAGUCAUUUAGAGGAAGUAAAAGUCGUAACA
rnacentral:rRNA from 1 species